GUGAGGAGUGGAGGUCUGUUGAAGGGCUGUGAGGAGGGGAGGAGGGGAGGUCUGUUGAAGGACUGUGAGGAGGGGAGGUCUGUUGAAGGACUGUGAGGAGGGGAGGUCUGUUGAAGGACUGUGAGGAGGGGAGGUCUGUUGAAGGGCUGUGAGGAGGGGAGGUCUGUUGAAGGGCUGUGAGGAGGGGAGGUCUGUUGAAGGACUGUGAGGAGUGGAGGUCUGUUGAAGGACUGUGAGGAGGGGAGGUCUGUUGAAGGGCUGUGAGGAGGGGAGGUCUGUUGAAGGGCUGUGAGGAGGGGAGGUCUGUUGAAGGACUGUGAGGAGGGGAGGUCUGUUGAAGGACUGUGAGGAGGGGAGGUCUGUUGAAGGACUGGUGUGUGGCCGGCAGCGAGUUGCCACAUCGUCAUCCUCAGCACAGGCAUCUUCUUCAUCACCUCAGAGUGUGUGUCUGUGUGUCUGUGUGUGUGUGUGUGUCUGUGUGUGUGUGUGUGUGUGUGUGUUGUGUGUGUGUGUGUGUGUGUGUGUGUGGCUGGGUGGGUUACAUUCUGAGUGUAAUUUGUCACUAGAUACCCGUCCAAAAUUGUAAUCGGUAACAUAACUGUUGGGAUUACCCAAACUCAGUGACAUAACUGUUGGGAUUACCCAAACUCAGGAACAUAACUGUUGGGAUUACCCAAACUCAGGAACAUAACUGUUGGGAUUACCCAAACUCAGUAAUGUAACUGUUGGGAUUACCCAAACUCAGUAAUGUAACUGUUGGGAUUACCCAAACUCAGGAACAUAACUGUUGGGAUUACCCAAACUCAGUAACAUAACUGUUGGGAUUACCCAAACUCAGUAACAUAACUGUUGGGAUUACCCAAACUCAGUAAUGUAACUGUUGGGAUUACCCAAACUCAGGAACAUAUAGGGCUGUGUAGUGUGUUAUAGCUGUAUAGAGCUGUGUAGUGUGUUAUAGCUGUAUAGAGCUGUGUAGUGUGUUAUAGCUGUAUAGGGCUGUGUAGUGUGUUAUAGCUGUAUAGAGCUGUGUAGUGUGUUAUAGCUGUAUAGAGUUGUGUAGUGUGUUAUAGCUGUAUAGAGCUGUGUAGUGUGUUAUAAAGUUGUGUAGUGUGUUAUAGCUGUAUAGAGCUGUGUAGUGUGUUAUAGAGCUGUGUAGUGUGUUAUAGAGCUGUGUAGUGUGUUAUAGAGCUGUGUAGUCUGUUAUAGAGCUGUGUAGUGUGUUAUAGAGCUAUGUAGUGUGUUAUAGAGCUGUGUAGUGUGUUAUAGCUGUAUAGAGCUGUGUAGUGUGUUGUAGCUGUAUAGAGUUGUGUAGUGUGUUAUAGCUGUAUAGUGCUGUGUAGUGUGUUAUAGAGCUGUGUAGUGUGUUAUAGAGCUGUGUAGUGUGUUAUAGAGCUGUGUAGUGUGUUAUAGCUGUAUAGAGUUGUGUAGUGUGUUAUAGCUGUAUAGAGCUGUGUAGUGUGUUAUAGCUCUGUGUAGUGUGUUAUAGCUGUAUAGAGCUGUGUAGUGUGUUAUAGAGCUGUGUAGUGUGUUAUAGCUGUAUAGAGCUGUGUAGUGUGUUAUAGGCUGUGUAGUGUGUUAUAGCUGUAUAGAGCUGUGUAGUGUGUUAUAGCUGUAUAGAGCUGUGUAGUGUGUUAUAGCUGUAUAGAGCUGUGUAGUGUGUUAUAGGCUGUGUAGUGUGUUAUAGGCUGUGUAGUCUGUUAUAGAGCUGUGUAGUGUGUUAUAGAGCUGUGUAGUCUGUUAUAGAGCUGUGUAGUGUGUUAUAGCUGUAUAGAGCUGUGUAGUGUGUUAUAGCUGUAUAGAGCUGUGUAGUGUGUUAUAGCUGUAUAGAGCUGUGUAGUGUGUUAUAGAGCUGUGUAGUCUGUUAUAGAGCUGUGUAGUGUGUUAUAGCUGUAUAGAGCUGUGUAGUGUGUUAUAGAGCUGUGUAGUCUGUUAUAGAGCUGUGUAGUGUGUUAUAGCUGUAUAGAGCUGUGUAGUGUGUUAUAGAGCUGUGUAGUCUGUUAUAGAGCUGUGUAGUGUGUUAUAGCUGUAUAGAGCUGUGUAGUCUGUUAUAGCUGUAUAGAGCUGUGUAGUGUGUUAUAGCUGUAUAGAGCUGUGUAGUGUGUUAUAGCUGUAUAGAGCUGUGUAGUGUGUUAUAGCUGUAUAGAGCUGUGUAGUGUGUUAUAGCUGUAUAGAGCUGUGUAGUGUGUUAUAGCUGUAUAGAGC
rnacentral:lncRNA from 1 species